rnacentral:rRNA from 1 species
CUUUCACACGGCCCGUACCCCAAACCGACACAGGUGGUCAGGUAGAGAAUACUAAGGCGAUCGAGAUAACUAUGGUUAAGGAACUCGGCAAAAUGCCCCCGUAACUUCGGGAGAAGGGGGGCCCUGUUUGGUGACGACAUUUACUGUCUGAGCUGGGUGGGGCCGCAGAGACCAGUGAGAAGCGACUGUUUACUAAAAACACAGGUCCGUGCGAAGUCGUAAGACGAUGUAUACGGACUGACGCCUGCCCGGUGC